rnacentral:rRNA from 1 species
CCGAAUGGGGAAACCCAGCACGAGUGAUGUCGUGUUACCCGUAUCUGAAUAUAUAGGGUGCGGGAGGUAACGCGGGGAAGUGAAACAUCUCAGUACCCGUAGGAGAAGAAAACAAUUGUGAUUCCGUCAGUAGUGGCGAGCGAACGCGGAACAGGCUAAACCGCAUGCAUGGACAACCGGGUAGGGGUUGUGUGUGCGGGGUUGUGGGAUUGAUAUGUCUCAGCUCUACCUGGCUGAGGGGUAGUCAGAAAGUGGCGUGGUUAGCGGAAGUGGCCUGGGACGGCCCGCCGUAGACGGUGAGAGCCCGGUACGCGAAAACCCGGCACCUGCCUUACAUCAACACCCGAGUAGCAGCGGGCCCGUGGAAUCUGCUGUGAAUCUGCCGGGACCACCCGGUAAGCCUAAAUACUUCUCGAUGACCGAUAGCGGAUUAGUACCGUGAGGGAAUGGUGAAAAGUACCCCGGGAGGGGAGUGAAAUAGUACCUGAAACCGUGUGCCUACAAUCCGUCANAGCCUUCUCGUGGGGUGAUGGCGUGCCUUUUGUAAAAUGAGCCUGCGAGUCAGGGACACGUCGCNAGGUUAACCCGUGCGGGGUAGCCGCAGCGAAAGCGAGUCUGAAUAGGGCGCAUCCCCUUUGGGGUGUAGUGGCGUGUUCUGGACCCGAAGCGGAGUGAUCUACCCAUGGCCAGGGUGAAGCGCGGGUAAGACCGCGUGGAGGCCCGAACCCACUUAGGUUGAAGACUGAGGGGAUGAGCUGUGGGUAGGGGUGAAAGGCCAAUCAAACUCCGUGAUAGCUGGUUCUCCCCGAAAUGCAUUUAGGUGCAGCGUUGCGUGGUUCACCACGGAGGUAGAGCUACUGGAUGGCCGAUGGGCCCUACUAGGUUACUGACGUCAGCCAAACUCCGAAUGCCGUGGUGUAAAGCGUGGCAGUGAGACNGCGGGGGAUAAGCUCCGUACGUCGAAAGGGAAACAGCCCAGAUCGCCGGCUAAGGCCCCUAAGCGUGUGCUAAGUGGAUGCGAAAUAGCUCACUGGUCAAGUGAUUAUGCGCCGAUAAUGUAGCGGGGCUCAAGCACACCGCCGAAGCCGCGGCACAUUCAUCUUUACGGUGGAUGUGGGUAGGGGAGCGUCCCCCAUUCAGCGAAGCCUCCGGGUGACCGGUGGUGGAGGGUGGGGGAGUGAGAAUGCAGGCAUGAGUAGCGAUAAGGCAAGUGAGAACCUUGCCCGCCGUAAGACCAAGGGUUCCUGGGCCAGGCCAGUCCGCCCAGGGUGAGUCGGGACCUAAGGCGAGGCCGACAGGCGUAGUCGAUGGACAACGGGUUGAUAUUCCCGUACCCGUGUAUGGGCGUCCCUGAUGAAUCAGCGGUACUAACCACCCAAAACCGGAUCGACCAUUCCCCUUCGGGGGCGUGGCGAUUCGGGGCUGCGUGGGACCUUCGCUGGUAGUAGUCAAGCAAUGGGGUGACGCAGGAAGGCAGCCGUACCAGUCAGUGGUAAUACUGGGGCAAGCCCGUAGGGAGAGCGAUAGGCAAAUCCGUCGCUCACUAAUCCUGARAGGUGAUGCAUAGCCGGUUGAGGCGAAUUCGGUGAUCCUCUGCUGCCAAGAAAAGCCUCUAGCGAGCACAUACACGGCCCGUACCCCAAACCGACACAGGUGGAGGCGUACCAGAUAACUAUGGUUAAGGAACUCGGCAAAAUGCCCCCGUAACUUCGGGAGAAGGGGGGCCGGAAUACCGUGANCACCCUUGCGGUGGGAGCGGGAUUCGGCCGCAGAAACCAGUGGGUAGCGACUGUUUACUAAAAACACAGGUCCGUGCGAAGUCGCAAGACGAUGUAUACGGACUGAACGCCUGCCCGGUGCUUGGAAGGUUAAGAGGACCCCGUUAACCCGUAAGGGUGAAGCGGAGAAUUUAAGGCCCCCAGUAAACGGCGGUGGUAACUAUAACCAUCCUAAGGUAGCGAAAUUCCUUGUCGGGUAAGUUCCGACCUGCACGAAUGGCGUAACGACUUCCCAACUGUCUCAACCAUAGACUCGGCGAAAAUUGCACUACGAGUAAAGAUGCUCGUUACGCGCGGCAGGACGAAAAGACCCCGGGACCUUCACUACAACUUGGUAUUGGUGUUCGGUACGGUUUGUGUAGGAUAGGUGGGAGACUUUGAAGCACAGACGCCAGUUUGUGUGGAGUCGUUGUUGAAAUACCACUCUGAUCGUAUUGGACACCUAACGUCGAACCCUUAUCGGGUUCACGGACAGUGCCUGGCGGGUAGUUUAACUGGGGCGGUUGCCUCCUAAAAUGUAACGGAGGCGCCCAAAGGUUCCCUCAACCUGGACGGCAAUCAGGUGGCGAGUGUAAGUGCACAAGGGAGCUUNACUGCGAGACUUACAAGUCAACCAGGGACGAAAGUCGGGACUAGUGAUCCGNAANCCCCGAGUGGAAGGGGUGUCGCUCAACGGAUAAAAGGUNCCCCGGGGAUAACAGGCUGAUCUUCCCCAAGAGUCCAUAUCGACGGGAUAGUUUGGCACCUCGAUGUCGGCUCGUCGCAUCCUGGGGCUGGAGCAGGUCCCAAGGGUUGGGCUGUUCGCCCAUUAAAGCGGCACGCGAGCUGGGUUUAGAACGUCGUGAGACAGUUCGGUCUYUAUCCGCCGCGCGCGUCAGAAACUUGAGGAAACCUGUCCCUAGUACGAGAGGACCGGGACGGACGAACCUCUGGUAUACCAGUUGUCCCACCAGGGGCACGGCUGGAUAGCCACGUUCGGACAGGAUAACCGCUGAAAGCAUCUAAGCGGGAAACCUUCUCCAAGAUCAGGUUUCUCACCCUUUUAGAGGGAUAAGGCCCCCCGCAGACCACGGGAUUGAUAGGCCAGACCUGGAAGCUCAGUAAUGAGUGCAGGGAACUGGCACUAACCGGCCGAAAACUUACCAAC